AAUUCCCAAUGCCUAAAGAGAGUAUCUAUUAGAUGCUGUAUGUAGGAUUCCAAAGAAGGAGCCAUUAAUUCUGUACAGAUAAAGUUGAAAAGAAAAGACAAAGAGCUACAAUAAACAUUUCCAAAGCUUUUAUCUGUUGUUACGCAAAGCCUAAGGCUACAAGUAAGCUGUUACAGCUUAUAUAAAUCCUGCUUAAAUUUAAAAUGUGACUGAAAGGCCUUUUUUCUUAGUCUUCUUCAUGCAACAUUCACCCUUUUCUUUCUCUGUUGCAUAAGCGAAAACAAUAUCCACUUUAAUUUUAACUGGAAAACAUAUUGACAACCCCUUGAUUUGACUGUCUGCCAUGUAUAGGCUGAGCCCUUAAUACAUAAAUGUAAAGAAAACCAUAAUCCAAACUUCCCAGAGGCAUGAGCCUUGCUUAAAACAAGUUCCCAUCAGGCUGCAUGCUCUGCUAUUGAUCCAUGUGCUAUCUACUUUGUGGUCAGGGUAAUGUUUUAACUGCAGGGCUCAGCUUCAACAUUUUGGAAGUUUUUCACAGCAAGCCCAGUUUAUUGACAAUGAUAAACAAAAUAGUAUCCAAUAAUAAAGGCUAGCCCUCUUUCCUUUACAAUUCUCUCUACUUCGACCUCAAUCACUGAAUUCCAAAAACGUUUCAUGAUGAUAUCAAAACAUCUACAGUUGGAGUGUAGAUCAUGCAGUCCAACAUAUGUUGUUGAGCUACAACGCUUAUGACUGUUGAGGGCUGCUAUUCAGAAAUAUCUGGUGCAUUGAGUAAUUCCUAACACUGUCUAUGUAUCAUGCUACACCUGAAAUGUUUACUUAAAACAGCAAUGUUAAGGUAGAUAUAAAUUACAGCAGAGUCUCACUUAUCCAACAUUCUGGAUUAUCCAACGUAUUUGUAGUUGUUUUCAAUACAUCAUUUUAUUUUGGUGCUAAAUUCGUAAAUACAGUAAUUACUACAUAGCAUUACUGCAUAUUGAACUACUUUUUUUCUGUCAAAUUUGUUGUAUAACAUAAUGUUUUGGUGCUUAAUUUGUAAAAUCAUAACCUAAUUUGAUGUUUAAUAGGCUUCGCCUUAAUCUCUCCUUGUUAUCCAACAUAUUCGCUUAUCCAACAUUCUGCCGGCCCAUUUACGUUGGAUAAGUGAGACUCUAUGUUGCACCCCAAGGCAGCGUGAGCACUGGAAACCAGACAGAGACCAAUAAUCAUAUAAUAUCUUUAUUAAAACAAUUAAUCAGGAAUGAAUAAGUGGAAAGGAUGAGUGGAUAAUAGUCCUUUGUGAAAAGGUAUGAAUUAGUCGAAAGAGUUGAAGAGAAAUGUCCAAUAUUAUUGUCCAAAGUCCAGAAACCGAAACACGCUCAAAACUGUUGGAAAGUUCUUGAGCGGGGAACAACAAGGAAGCAAGACUGAAUAACAAAGUCCAAAGUCACUAGGAAGUCUUUGAUAUCAAGGCAGGAAUGAGACGAAGCUAAGACCAAACUUGAUUCAGGAACAAGGCAAGGAAGAGGAUUUACUCUGGGUCUACUUGGGAGUCACGGCUCAGCUUGGCUGCCAGGAACAGGAAACUUGGCUUGGUAGAAUCAGGAGCUAGAGUCGGUGAACUGUUCUCAGGAAAUAGCUACGUUGACACCGCAAAGUGUUCACAGUGCAAGACACUUUUAUGGAACUUAGAUCUAAACACAACGAAGGGAAGCCAAACUCCCCAGAGGUUCCCAAGGGAAUCUUCUAUCCAUUAUCCCCUCGAGAUGCCAAGCAGUUACUCCUUUGGAGCCCUUGUUUUUCUGAUCUCUGGCAAUGCAGAAACUCCCUUCUGUUGAAGGACACAUUCUCUGGGGAACUCAGAACAUCUGGUUCAGCCAUGGGAGUAAUAUUUCCAGUUUCUCUCCCAAUUAAGGAAUCAUCCGAGCUAUCAACAGCCGGCAGCUGUAAUUGGAAGGAUUUCUGCAGACUAGGUAAAAAGUCAGAAUAAGUUUCAUCCUGGUCAAAGUUCAUUUCUGAAUCAAGUUCAGAAACCAAAGGUGGUUGGGGUAUGACACUCUACUGUAUGUUGAAUUAACUGAAAAGUUACUACCCUAUUUUUGAGUGACUGAUGUUCUUCAGUAAGAGCUAGGUUAUGUUGCUCAGUCCAGCCCUUCUAUCACACCCUUCCCAUGAUGUGCUCUGCCCCAACUAUUGCAUGUUGAUCACAAUGGUCUGAACAAUGUACUCCUAAGAAGUCCACUCCACUGGGAUAUCCACACAAUUAGACAUCCUGACUAAGUAAAGUCUGUAUGCAUGAGCAGUUGUUCACUCUUAGAAUUUCUGUUUGAUAAACUGGGGCAUGGCUAGCCUGAUAUUACAACAUCAGUGUAAGGUCAGCAAUGAAACCCCAUUCAUGCUGCAACAUGUCAAUGUCUAAUGCACAAGGAAGACGUAAACAGAAUGUUCAGUCUGAUGUUUGGAGACUCUAUGGAGGAUAAUGUCUGCUUUAACAAAUGAAAUUUGAAGAUUGUAUAUUGUAAGAAUACUUGCCACUCAGAAUUGUUUUAAUGUUCAGUGUACAUGACGUACAUUAUCUCAAUGAUCCUUACAACUGUCCUGUGAAAUAGAUUGAUAUUAUUGUCUUGACACUGCAAGCAGGGAGCUUGUUAAAGGACAGUUGUUUAUCAAAGGAUAUUUACUGAAAAGAAGAGGAAGAUUUGGACCAAGAACAUUUUGAAUGGUCACAAAUCUUUUCUUCUGACAAUGAAAAAUACCUAACAUAACAAAGACAGUUAAAUAUUGAUUAGUUCUGCUCUUGUUGUAAUCCGUAGGCUCAACCAGUGCAGGAUUAAUUUGCUGCAAACACUAUCUUAUCGGAAAAGUUUGACCUCAAUUCAGAGAAGGAAAAUGGAACAGCUCUAUGUUCUAUUCCUGGGAUCUCCAGAAAGUCCCAGAGAUACCCAAGACCUUGGAGAGACUCAUACUAGACAAAGCAAAGCUAAAUGGAUCAAUGGUCUGACUCAUUAUAAAGCACUUUCAUAGGCUGGAUUCCUUUUGUAGCUUUCUGUUUCAAUCCUUUGGGGAAUUUUGGUAUUUCUUAAUUAAGAGUCUCAUCCCACCAAGUUUUUUUUUGGUUCUACAGCUGUUUUGUCCCUCCUUAAAUGCUUUACUGUUAACAUAUGCAAUUUGGAACAGCCUAAUAGCAGUAUUGAGCAAAACCAUGCUCUUGCAAUGAAUUUUGAUGGAGAGAUAAUGCUUAUACAAUUUAUAUUUAACUCAACAAAAUGCUGUAUCAUCUUAGAUUUACUGCUGGUAUAAAACAUUUUAAUUAUUUUAGCAAACAGUUCAGGAAUCCCAUAUUCUUUUACCACACUGCUGGUAGCCCCUCAUCUUUGUAAUUUUAAGUGCAUCAGGGAUAAUGAAAGACCAAAUAUCUUUCUCUUUCUCUGGUAUGUUAUUUAUCACUUCCUCCAAUAAUGAAAGCUGGCUUGAGUGCCUAUCAGCUUUGAUGUUAAACAGAGACCAUGUAGAUAGGUAGAAUUACCUAAGAUGUGUGAGCAACGCCCUCCCCCCCCCCCCAUCAAAAAAGAUAGGUCUAAAAGAAUGAGCAGAUCAAAUUAGUUUUAUCUUGUCUGAAAGCUGUACCAGAGGAGCAGAGCUAUUCCAUAUACUUGACCCAAGAAAAGGACACACUUGAGGACAGAUGCCUUCUUCCACCAAGUGCACAACUUCACAAAGGGUGCCUAUGGACCAGUUAGGAAGGAAGGGGACAGACAGAUUAGCUCGGUCUCCCUUAAUGAUCAAGUGACAGAUGUCUGAAUCAAAAAGACUGAAAAUUUAUUAAGUAUAUGACCAAGAGAAGCUGAAAGUAUAAUUUUGGGGUAGUAGCUCAGAAUUGAACACUGCAAUCUAAAAAACUACAGAACAAAUAAGUUUCAGAUUUUAGGAAAGUUUCAACUGAAAUCUACACCCUGAAUUUCUAGUAUGGCACUAUUACAUUUUAGUUGUUAACUGUACUGCAAUCUAGUCUAUGUUGCCACUGCACUACUUCAUUGGCUGUUCAGUUCUCAUGAGAUCUCUUGAAUUGUCCUUACAACCAGGUAGUACAAAUAUAUCCUUUUGAAAUGCAGACAUCACAUGCACAGUAUUAAGAGAUUCCUUGCACAGAAAAAUAUUCUUAACUAUGGUUCUGUCACCAAUAGAAGCUCUCUUUGCAGGAACACUUGAGAACUCAAAUAAACAGAUGCAAAUAUAGAUGAACACUUCAUUGAAUGUAUGUGAAUUGAAAAUAAAUUUCAGGUAGACUUAGAAGUAAGAAUUUGCAGGGGAAAAGAGAUGAACGCCAAUAGCCAAAAGUGACAGGAUAUCGCAAACUCAGUCUGCACACCGUCACAGCAAAAGUAGAACAAAUUUCUAGCUGCAAUACAGAUGCAAAUUCAGAAUAUACACGAAGUGAUCAACCAGAUUGCAUAAAAUAUGUUUUCAUUUAAAGUAACAGUAAACAUUUCCUGAAUGCUAUCAUGCUUAUGUAGCUAAAAUGGAAUCACCCAUGUAGAAAAGGAGGCUGCAGAAGUAUAUCACAUCUACCUUUGGGGCAAAAUAAUGACAACAACAAAUUAAAAGGUGGGAACACUCUAAACACAAGGCACUGCACAAGUGCUGCUUGUAAGCCGCCUUGAGUUCCCCUCGAGGUAGAGAAAGGCGAGAUAUAAAUAUGGUAAAUAAAUAAAUAAACAAUGGCCAUAGAAUGCUUAAUUUAUCAGGGGGAGGGGGUGAAACAGAUAACAGGAGGUAGGGAAAAUAUGUAUAUAAUUGGAGUGAGCUUGUUGCCAGUCCCACUUGCUAAAUCUUAACACAAACAAAAAUCUAGAUUUGUACAGAACUAAAAAAUGAAAUGUAAUAUCUUUAAAGAGAGCCAUAAUAUUAAAAAUAAAGCAGUCCAAAAGAAGUACAAGAUAUAAAGGCCAGACAUGCUUUUAACCCAAUUAUCCAGAUGCGUGCAGUAGAUAUUUUUUCUUUUUUUUCAUUGACCUAUAUUUUAUUUACUGCUUCCUUCUCUCUGAAUACUCAGUGGACCACUCAUUCUAUAUCUCUCACAAAAUAAGCUUCAGUAAAAACAAAGCUGUGGAGACACAAAACUUUCCUACUUAAUUGAAUUUCUCAGCAAAUAGCCGUGCUUCACAAUAGAUUGGUGAUAAUAAUGGUCUCAUUGGCAAUUUCAGGGAACAGCUACUGUCACUAGCAUCAGCACACCAUCCUUGGGAGCUCCCCAAAAUAUGGAGUCAGAUAUUGCUGUAAAGAAAAUGCUGUUUCAAAUGCAUUUUUCAUCUCACCCAGCAGACCACUGCUUGUGUUUUAAUGUAUGUUUCCUGCAAAUACAAUGCCAUUAUUGGCUGGCCUGUGUUUGAGCUUCCCCUGCUUUUUGGAAGACACAAUUUUCCCAAAAUGUUCUGUAAGUGUCCAGGGCAAUGUGUAUGCUUUGGAUGCAGAAAGCCACAGAGUCAAAUCUGCCAUUUGCAGGUAGGGCUGGGAAAAAUCUCUGCUUUAAAUCCAAGGCAGCCAUUUCUACUCAAUAAAGACUAUUUGAACAGGUUGGACCAAUGUUCUACCUCAAUACAAGGAAACUUCCUGUACUAAUAUUCUAACCAGAUUAAUUCCAAACUGAUGACAUAAAAGGAUCCCUAGCUACAUCAUAUUGAUAGAUAAAAUAUGGAUUUAUUAAUGUUGAUGCCUGAAGAAAUUGUCAUUUAAUUUGGACUUGAAGGUUACUUUACAUUUUUUUGGUGAAACUAGAAAAAGUCCAGGUUAUUGAAGUUGGAUCAACAUACUGAAGAUCAACAGAAUAAAUUACAUUUGUAUUGAUCUAUCAAGGAGAAGGUGAUGGGGAAGGAGAUCAGGAAAACUGUUGGAUACCCAACAACACAAGAAGUCAAGAAGCUCCAAAGGUGAAUCAGAAAGUUGAAAAAAAGAUCAAUGGGACUUUAAUCAGCAAUGAAUAGCAAAUGACUUAUCUGAAGACAUCAGAUGCAGACAUUCCCUGCUGAGAUUAAUUAGUGGGGUGCGAACAAAGUGGAGGCAUUAUCUUGGUGAGAGUUGCAAAAAGAACAUCAGGGCAUCUUUAGCACAACUGCUCUCAGUCCCACUACCCUCUCAAGCAUGACUGGUGGGGAUGAGAGACAGGGCCUUCUCAGUGGUGGCCCUUCAUCUGUGGAACUCUCUCCCUAAUGAAAUCAGUUCAGCCUCCCUGCCUCCUGUCCUUCAAGAAAAAACUUAAACAUGGCUGUGGGACCAAGCAUUUGAGCAGUAAAUUGCAGCAAUAGAAUAAUGAGGGUGAAUUUUUUUGUCACUGACAAUGGACAGACCUUGCACUGUGAUUUUGAAUUUGCGUAAUUUUAAUUAAUGAUUUAAUAACCGAUGUUUUAACUAUAUGGUUUUAAUUGUAACUAUUAUCUAUAAAUGUUUGUGUUGGCAUCAAAUUGUUGCCUGUUGUGAGGCCACUCUGAGUCCCCUUCGGGGUGAGACAGGCGGGGUAUAAAUUUGGGAAAUAAACUGCACAAAUAUGUCUCUUGGCAUUCAACAUCCUUCUUUCAAUAAGGUUCACAUUCCCAUACUCACUUUCUAUUGCCUCUCAGCUAACACACACUACUAGACCUUAUUCAGUUAAUAAGGCUUAAAAGAUUCAAUACAUGUAGUCCAAUAAGAGUUUUUUGAGGGGUAAAGCACCUGAAUCUGGCCCACAGCAGACUGUUUAAUCAUUGAAACCACUUAAGGUUUGUUUGUAUCCUCACCCUACAGUAUCUUUUUCAAAUCUUUGGCUACUAUAUUAAGGCUAUUUCUUCUAAGCAGAAGUGAAUGAGUCUGGAUACACUGUCUUUGCCAAGUGAACCUGGAUGUAGACUGGCACCAUCCAUUGAAACACCUCACCAGGGAAGGAUAAGGCUGCCCUGCAGCUCUUUCUUAGAUCCUCUGCUUCUAUUUGAUUGCUGUGAAGGGACAGAAAUGGAUUAAUGGAGGCAGAAUUUCUGGUUAAAAGCCAUUAAUAAAGAGGAAGGCUGCAUCCAAGGAAGUCUAGUAAUUUAUUGUGACAAGGAUUAGAAGGAGUAGAAAACUGAUUCUGAGCUCCAGAAGAAAGUGGAGGAUUUCUCUAGGGGUUCAUAUGUAAAAAAAAAUGUGCUAGAAGAGUACUAUCACCUUUAACAACCACUCCCUCUAGUGCACAAACAGUAGAAACAUGACACGAAUAAAUUCAUAUUUUUAUUUGUGAACAAAUAUAAAUGUGCCAUAAAUGUCUUAAAUUUCCACUGACCUUUUACUCUAAAAGAAACAAAAGCCAGAAAAAUGCUGUUCCUGGACUAUUGUUGUUAACUAACUUCAGGUCCACUUUUGCUUAUGGUAACCCUAUGAAUGAGAGACCUCCAAGUCAUCCAAUCCUCAACAGCCGUGCUCAGAUCUUGCACACUCAGGGUUGUGGCUCACCGGAUUGGGAUCCAUCUGAAAUGUGGCCUUCCUCUUUUGCUAUCACCCUCCACCUUAUUAAGCAUUAUCAUCUUGUCCAGUGAGCCAUGUCUUCUCAUUAUAUGUCUACAGUAUGACUAGCUCAGUUUAAUCAUCUUAGGCUCUAAGUAAAGUUCAGACUUACCUUGCUCUAAGAUCAAUUUAUUUUCAUUUUUAACAGUCCAUGGUACAGUAGUGUCUCACUUAUCCAGCAUAAACGGGCCGGCAGAAUGUUGGAUAAGCGAAUAUGUUGGAUAAUAAGGAGGCAUUAAGGAAAAGCCUAUUAAACAUCAAAAUAGGUUAUGAUUUUACAAAUGAAACACCAAAACAUCAUGUUAGACAACAAAUUUGGCAGAAAAAGUAGUUCAAUACGCAGUAAUGCUAUGUAGUAAUUACUGUAUUUAUGAAUUUAGCACCAAAAUAUCACGAUAUAUUGAAAACAUUGACUACAAAAAUGCGUUGGAUAAUCCAGAACGUUGGAUAAGCGAGUGUUGGAUAAGUGAGACUCUACUGUAUUUAUAGAACUCUUCUCCAACACCACAUUUCAAAUGAUGUGAUUUUCCUCCUAUUGUUUUGUUCACUGUUCUGCGAUGGUCACUGUCAUCCUUCACUACUGCUGCUAUUCAGUAGUUGUUUGGCACACUUAAUCUGGCUCCUUAGCAAAAGCCUGUCUGGCGUGAAAGACCCUACUAGCAGCAUCAACAUAGAUUCUUGCCUUACAGGAACACACAAUCCCAUUAUGGUGGAAAAGUAGUGCCCUUUCUCCAUAUUGGUAUUUCUGAGAUUUAAUCACUUACUUCUUUUCCCAGAGGGUAUUUGUUUUCAUUUGUAAGCCAUCAAGAUUUCUGGAUGUCUUUAUCUCCCACCUGCUCUGCCCACUAGGAUUUUUCCCUUCUCCUCUUCACAGAAGAAGAUCCAAAUGAAAUUUUCCAACCUCCUUUGCCUUCACAUUUCCCUAUUCUUUCAAUACCCCACUUCUGUAGACAAGUGUUUUUUCCCCCUGUAGAACUACACUGAAGAUUUUCCAUUGCCUUCUGAAAGAGUGAAAGCAAGGUGGUUCUUACGUGCUCAGGAAAAUGUGGAGAUGCAGGAGAGAGCCUCAGUAAGAAGAGCACAUGAGAGAUCUGGGAUUUGGUAAAUCUAUAUUUGAACUAUUUAAUUCUAGAAAUGAUCCUGGUAACUUUUAUAUAGUGAAUAGGUAUAGCUUUUUAGAAUAAUUAGGGAAUUGUAACAUUAAAUAGGAUUAUAACUGCUUAGAUUUUUGCAUCUUUAUUAACGACUUAGAUGAAGGGUUAGAAGGCACGAUCAUCAAGUUUGCAGACGACACCAAACUGGGAGGGAUAGCUAACACUCCAGAAGACAGGAGCAGAAUUCAAAAUGAUUUUAACAGAUUAGAGAGAUGGGCAGAAACUAACAAAAUGAAGUUCAACACAGACAAAUGCAAGAUACUUCACUUCGGCAGAAAAAAUGGAAUGCAAAGAUACAGAAUGGGGGACGAUGCCUGGCUCGACAGCAGUACAUGUGAAAAAGAUCUUGGGAGUCCUCGUGGACAACAAGCUAAACAUGAGCCUACAAUAUGAUGCGGCGGCGAAAAAAGCCAAUGGAAUUCUGGCCUGCAUAAAUAGGGGUAGUCAUGCUACCCCUGUAUUCUGCUUUGGUCAGGCCACACCUGGAAUACUGUGUUCAAUUCUGGGCACCACAGUUGAAGGGAGAUGUUGACAAGCUGGAAAGCGCCCAGAGGAGGGCAACUAAAAUGAUCAAGGGUCUGGAGAACAAGCCCUAUGAGGAGCAGCUUAAAGAGCUGGGUAUGUUUAGCCUGCAGAAGAGAAGGCUGGGAGGAGACAUGAUAGCCGUAUACAAAUAUGUCAGGAGAAGUCAUAGGGAGGAGGGAGCAAGCUUGUUUUCUGCUGCCCUGGAGACUAGGACGCGGAACAAUGGCUUCAAACUACAGGAAAGGAGAUUCCACCUGAACAUCAGGAAGAACUUCCUUACUGUGAGAGUUGUUCAGCAGUGGAACUCUCUGCCCCGGACUGUGGUAGAGGCUCUUUCUUUGGAGGCUUUUAAGCAGAGGCUGGAUAGCCAUCUGUCGGGAGGUGCUUUGAAUGAGAUUUUCCUGCUUCUUGCAGGGGAUUGGACUGGAUGGCCCGUGAGGUCUCUUUCAACUCUACGAUUCUAUGAUUCUAGGUUCUUUGUUUUGUCACAGCAAGAGAACAUGAGCAUGUUUUUUAUCCAUUAUUUGCUACAGUGAAGGAGUGUAAGGGCAGGAAUGCCUUUCAGGGAAAUUGCAAAAUACAUCUCUUUCCUUGUCUAUUAACAUCCAUGAAACAUUGUCUUGGAGUUUGGUAAGCUGCAAGGAUACUGAUUUGAAUAAACAUUCAAAGCUUUGUUAUAAUAUCCAUCAAAGAAAAAAGGUUAGGGUCCUGAAGAGAUUUGGAUACUUGAAGAGCAGUAUUUUUAAUAUUGCUAAUAUGUUGUAUAUGAAUUGGAAUUGUAGAGGGAAAUAUGUUGAGGUGUUUGUAUUGGAUUUGGGAAAUAAUGCUGUUUUAUGUUUCUAAGGUGUUUAUGAACCUGUUCAUUUAUUGUACUUUUUAUAGGAAAUUUUGUUUUCAAAAUAUACGAACUCGGAUAUUAGACAUCAAAGUCAUAUACUGGUAGUUUGAUGAUAACUCAGUUUCACCAUGUAUGAUCUCACUAUACUGUAAGAAUAGUUUUAGAUUGCUGAUGAUCUAAAUCCAGUUGGCUAGUCCUGUAAGUAUUCACUUGGCAUCCAUCUACUAAUUCAAUGGCUCUAAUCUACUUGGGACUACCAAUUGGAAGGAAGGAUCGUGUGUCCUGAAUUGGACACAUAAACUUUAAUGGGUCCAGAAUGACUGUUUUAAAUUCCUUAUAUCAAUUAGUAUCAUUGAUGCAAGCCAUACAAGGAAAUCACAGGUAAUGAACCAUAAUAAGUAGGGAUUAGCUAGACACAUCUCUGAAAGUUGUGACAUUUAGGAGGAGACAUCUUCCAUCCUUGUGUGCAUGUGUGCCUUCAAGCCACCUGUUGACUCGAGGUGACCCCAUGAAUUUCAUAGGGUUUUCUUAGGCAAGGAAUACUCCAAUAUGGUUUUGCCAGUUCCUUUCUCUGAAAUAGAGCCCAUAGCACCUGCUAUUUGGUGGUGACAAAGGAAGCAUCAGACAAAGAAGUAGUGUUUUAGUUUUGAGCUCUGGAAACGACCUGAAAUAUAUCUGAGGUAUAUGAUGUGGGUUGGCAAUACACUUCUGGUGGCAGUUAGAUAAAAAAAUCCUACUUAAAGCCAUAAAUGUUAUCUGUAUUUCAAUGAUUGUUUCCUUUUUUUGGUUACAUUUCAGAACUGCACAGCUCUAUAAGAACAAAAAUUAUGUUUUUAAGUUUUUCCAUUUGGGCAGAGGGUGCAAACUUGUGUGGUUGGGAAAGAUCCGCCAAAAAAAGGAGGGAGCAGUGAUAUAGGGGAAUAUUAUUACGAAUAUUAGUGUGUUUAUCUAUAUUCUGCUUUUUCUCUCUACAAAGAGACUCAAUAUGGCAUGGAUUGGGAGGCAUCAUCUCUCGGCUGUGUGAUAAGUCUGAUAUGCAUUAUUUUAUUAGAUACGAAAACGUAACAAGAAUUUGAACAGGUGUUGCAAGUUAUAACUCAAUGACAUGAAACAGAAUCACUGAAAGCAAAACAGCAGCUGUAAAAAGAAGAAUUAACAGUGCAAGACUGACACAAUAAUCCUGCAUAUAUUUCUGAGGAGAAAACCCAAUAAUCAAGAUGGUGCACACAGAAUUCCUCAUAUCAUUCAAGAAAGAAAAACAUAAUCAAUAUGCACCAAUGUCUAUCAUAUGUUACCUUGCUCUUUACACAACUGAAAAGACAGAGAAGACAGAACAAGUAGAGAUUGAACACUUG